GCUGGGACUACAGGAAGAAGCCACCAUGCCUGGCUAAUUUUUUAAAGUUUUUUGUAGAGAUGGGCAUCUCACUAGGUUGCCCAGGCUGGUCUCAAACUCCUGGGUUCAAGCAGUCCUCUCUCCUCGGCCUCCCAAAGUGUUGGCAUGACAGGCAUGAGCCGCUACACCCGACCUAUAAUUCUGGCUAUAUCAUUCCUUGGUCAACCACCUUCAAUGGCACCCUCUUGCCUACUGAAAGAAAACAUGGUGUCGACUCCCAAGAUGGACUCAAUGGACGUGUCACUUGCCAGAACUUCAAUCUUGAAUUCAUCCAUCACAUAUUUCCAGAACUGGGAGGACUUGAUGCUGAAGGGGUCAAAGGUCAGGUUUUCCAUGGGGGUGACUAGGCCGUCCACUCUGCAUAGGACAUCAUCAAUGCGCUUGGGGUCCCCCGUCACUGCCUUUAGUUCUGGACCAAAUAUGUUAUAAAAUUCCUCCAAAAUCUGUCCAAUCAAACGGAACAAUGAGGAGAUUACAUUUGGGUUUUCCUGUGAAUAUUAGAACUACAAAUGGAUAGCAUAUCGAGACUGACCUGGGGGCAAGAAUCAUGUCACACAGUAACCUCCUCCCGGACUAAGCCCUUCGGUACGAUGCCCAAGGCACAUAGGAUAAGAUCCAGGUCUGCACCUGCCUGUUCCUCCCCACAUUGCAG
rnacentral:lncRNA from 1 species